rnacentral:sRNA from 1 species
ACAGACAAAAGUGUGAAGUUGGGAC